rnacentral:rRNA from 1 species
UUGGAGGGCAAGUCUGGUGCCAGCAGCCGCGGUAAUUCCAGCUCCAAUAGCGUAUAUUAAAGUUGUUGCAGUUAAAAAGCUCGUAGUUGAAUUUCGGGGUCAGUAGGUCGGUCGUGCCACUGGUAUGAACUGGUUUUACUGAUUCCUCCCUCUUGAAGAACUGUAAUGCCAUUAAUUUGGUGUUGCAGGGAAUCAGGACUGUUACUUUGAAAAAAUUAGAGUGUUUAAAGCAGGCUUUAGCUUGAAUACAUUAGCAUGGAAUAAUGAAAUAGGACGUUUGAUCCUAUUUUGUUGGUUUCUAGGAUUGACGUAAUGAUUAAUAGGGAUAGUUGGGGGCAUUAGUAUUCAAUUGUCAGAGGUGAAAUUCUUGGAUUUAUUGAAGACUAACUACUGCGAAAGCAUUUGCCAAGGAUGUUUUCAUUAAUCAAGAACGAAAGUUAGGGGAUCGAAGACGAUCAGAUACCGUCGUAGUCUUAACCAUAAACUAUGCCGACUAGGGAUCGGUUGAUGUUAAUUUUUUAAUGACUCAUUCGGCGCCUUACGGGAAAC